GAGGCUGUAGCUUAGUCUGGUAUGAGCGCUGGUCUUAUAAGCCAGUGGUCGGGGGUUCAAAUCCCCCCAGCCUCA
rnacentral:tRNA from 1 species